rnacentral:tRNA from 2 species
GGGCGCGUGGCCUAGCCAGGAUAGGGCGGCAGCCUCCUAAGCUGUAGUUCGGGGGUUCAAGUCCCUCCGCGCCCG